rnacentral:lncRNA from 1 species
CCUACUGUACUUUGUCUUUCAUAGACUGCUCUUUAAUUUGGUAAAGCUCUGGUAAAUUAUUUUCUUUUAGAGAGUUCUUAGAGGCUUCUGUUGUGGAGAACAUUUUGGGUAUAUUUCAAAACAGUUACUUGUCCGACCAGAAACACAAGGUGAUUUUUUUGGUCUAAUUUUGGUCACUUCCUGGGGCUUUCAAAGAGCUGUGGGGUUUGUUUAUUUUUUGAAAAUAAAUAUGAGUUUUCUCCUGGAAGGUCAUUCCACAGAGGCUUGUUCUAAACAAACUCUUUUUCCAGAAUCUAGAACCUAUACAUUGAAAUUAAAAAUGAAAUUGACCAGUUCUUUAGACAUACAGUCCUCUGACUCUGACUCUCUUUUUUUUUUAUUAGCAAAUUGAACCCAAAGAAAGAGAAAGGUGAUAGAAUAUAGAUCAGAAGAAACAAUCCACAACAAUAGAAAUGAUAAAGGAGUACAUAACAAUAGCAAAGACGCAAAAGCUUUGCACGCAGCAUGGUUAUGGGUACUAUUCUACUGAAGAUAACAAGAAUCUUGAAUUUAAAUCAAACAAAUAAAUGAUAAUCAAAACAAAACAAAAACUAUAAGCAUCACUGAGCAGACAAAAAAUAAGUAUUUUAAGGGCUGGAUACUUAGAAAAGGAGAGAAGUAAGAAAGGAGAGUAUAGGUAUCAACUCACUUUCAUCAUUGAUCUUAGAUUUUUAUGGCUUUAGAGGCUCCACACAAGAAACCAAGCUCCUGGACCUUGUGAAGUGGGACCUCUAAUAGAAAAUACUCCACUGGUAGCUAGAUCCAAAAAGGGCCUCUCCCUCAUUGUAAAAUUCAGCUAUAAUCUACAACUACUCUCUCCAUUCCCUACUGUGGAUCUGCAAAGAAAAUCAAUCCUCUCAAAUCUUAGCAGUGAAUUUAAAGGGAUAAAGCAGUCUCAGAAUGCUUGGGCAUAUGAUGGCCCUCCAAAACCUGAUGGUUUCCAGAAGUUACCAUUCAUCAGUAUUACAUAGAGAUCUUAUUAAAGCAGUUUGCAAGACCAACUGCAAAGGUACUGAUUCAGUAGAUCUAGGUAGGUUCUGAAAAUUUGCAUUUCUAAAAAUUGCCAGAUAAUGUUAAUAUUGCUGGUUCAGAAACAGACUUUGAAAAUCACUACCUUAGGUAUUUCAGCCUAAGUGUAUAUCAUCUUGCAAAAACAUUCCCAAGCUUGAAGUUAAUUGACUGACCUAGACAGGCAGUGCCUUCAAAUAGCUUGAAGAAACAAACACUAAACCUCCUUAGAGCAGAAACGACAGAAUAACAAAUGCAAAGCAAAAGAAGAAAGAGGAAGAGGAGAGGGAGGGGGGAAAAGGAAGCAGAAGAGGAGUGGGAGUCAGAAAAGCAGAAUAUUUAAAGUAACAGUUGCUGAGAAUUUUGCAAAUUGAAUGACAAAUUUAAUUUUGCAAAACAAAUAUAAAGAUUAUGGUCCUGUUUUCCAAAAUCAGGUUUUAACACAUAAUAGAAUAAAUGUCCAGUAAUUUUUUUUUUUGAGAUGGAGUUUCACUCUUGUUGCCCUGGCUGGAGUGGAAUGGCACUAUCU